rnacentral:sRNA from 1 species
UCAGCCGCUGACGUCAGGGCUGACCGUGCUGGAAGCGCCGUCUUUCGGCGCUCCGUAUCCAUGUUGCUUCAAGGAGGAUAUGGCUAUGGCAA